AUUUCUGUAGUUGAAUUACAACGGUGAUUUUUCAAGUCAUAAGUCUAGGUGGAAAUCCUGGUUGGAGUAUA
rnacentral:tRNA from 1 species